rnacentral:lncRNA from 1 species
CAAUUUUCGCUUCAUCUCCUCCUGCGCAUACGAAACGUCCUGCUUCAAAGCAUCUUCUCCCAGCCAUAACCUCUUCGGUUUCAAUCUCUUUUAAUCUCCAAUACCUUCCCGAUGUCUGAUUUUAACACCCAGUAACUUAAUUGUAGACUUGACUCAGUUUCAUUAUCUUCACUUCAGUUCUAAAUAUGGUUUCCAGUUCCAUCAUCAGACUUGCUCAUCGAUAUUAAUAGUUAUAUGCUAUGAUUUCAGGUCUAAUCCAAACUCCUAACGGUCUACGAUGAGAAAAAGCAAGAGACUAGCAUAUCGUCUGGUCUACCGUCUUGGAUUGCCCUUCUCAGAUUUCGAUACCGCAGGUUUCGUUAACGAACAGGCCCAUCGUAAUCUAAUCGGUGUCUCCACCGUCUUGAAUCGACCUUCUCAGACUUCGAUAUGACAAAAAAGGAGUAAAUAUGUCUGGGUCACAUGAAGAAUCAAAACACCGGAAUCAUUACGAUGAAGAAGAGAAUUUUCGUAGAGCCCAUUCUUUGAUUUAUCAUUUUGAUCUCUUCAACGAAGGUGAUGAAAAUCUUAAUUUCUAAACAGAGUAUUUAUGUUUACAAUUUUUUGGGCGCUGCUUUCGUUUCUGAUUUACAUGAUUUACAUAGUUUUCACAAAUAUUCCUGGUAUAUAUUCAUAAUUUACACAGUUUUCACAAAUAUGUAAAGAUAACAAUAGAAAUAUCACUGUCGUCGUGUUUAUGUUCGUUCGCUUGAGUUUUGCUUUUCCGUUUUUGCUUUGUUCCCCGUAUAAUCAUACUCAGUUAGUAACAUAACUUAGAUUAUUUGUGGAAUGUGCGUAGAUAGCUGCACUAAAUUAGGUUCUGAUGCCUCAUUAUUAAACUUCCGGUGAACUUUUUACUUAUUCGUGUUGGGGCUGUUUGUUUGCUUAUUUGGAUGGAUCAUCCAGAUGAAUCAGUCAAAUGAUGUUUGUUUAAUUACAUAAAUUGACACAUCUACAUCUAGAUGAUACAGCUAGAUGGAUCAUUUGGAUGACUUAUAAAUUUAUGAAAAAAUUUGAAACUCAUCCAACUGAUUCAGUUUGAAGCAUUUGGAUGAACAUAACUCAGUAAAAAAAAAUCGCAUAAUCUCGAUAAAAGAUGUAAAAUCUCGUAUUUUCAUCAAAAACGUAAAAUCUUGUUUUCCCGUAAAAAAUAUACAAUCUCGUUUUACCGUAAAAAACGUAAAAUUUCGUAUUCCCGUCAAAAACAUAAAAUUUCGUUUUCCCGUCAAAAAACAUAAAAUCUCGUUUUUCCAUCAAAAACGUAAAAUCUUGUUUUACUGUAAAAAAACAUAAAAUCUUGUUUUUUUGUCAAAAACCUAAAAUUUUGUUUUCCCGUCAAAAAACGUAAAAUCUCGUUUCCCCGUAAAAAACGUAAAAUUUUGUUUUUUCGUUAAAAACAUAAAAUCUCGUCCGUUAAAAACGUAAAAUCUCGUUUUAACGUUAAAAACGUAAAAUCUCGCUUUCCGUCAAAAACGUAAAAUCUUGUUUUCCCGUCAAAAACGUAAAAUAUCGUUUUCCGUUAAAAACGUAAAAUCUUGUUUUCCCGUCAAAACCGUAAAAUAUCGUUUUCCGUUAAAAACUUAAAAUCUCGUUUUUCCGUUAAAAACAUAAAAUCUCGUUUUUCUGUCAAAAAACAUAAAAUCUUGUUUUCCCGUUAAAAACGUAAAAUCUCGUUUUCCCAUUAAAAACGUAAAUUUUUUGUUUUCCCGUUAAAAACAUAAAAUCUCGUUUUCUCGUUAAAAACGUAAAAUCUCGUUUUCCCGUUAAAAACGUAAAAUCUUGUUUUCUCGUUAAAAACGUAAAAUCUUAUUUUCUCGUUAAAAACGUAAAAUCUCGUUUUCUAGUAAAAAAAAUGUAAAAUCUUGUUUUCUCGUUAAAAAACAUAAAACCUCGUUUUCCCGUGAAAAACGUAAAAUCUCGUUUUCCCGUUAAAAACGUAUAAUUUGAUUGCCCUUCAAAAACGAAUUUUGGUUUCCCGUCAAAACGUAAAAUCAUUUUUUUUGUCAAAAACGUAAAAUUUUGUUUUUUCUCUGUCAAAAAGCGUAAAACUUCGUUUUUUCCGUCAAAAAACGUAAAAUUUUGUUUUUCCGUCAAAAAAUAUAAAAUUUUAUUUUGUCGUAGAAAACAUAAAAUCUUGUUUUCCGUUAAAAUGUAAAAUCUCAUUUUCUCGCUAAAAAUGUGAAAUCUCAUUUUCAUUGCUCAUUUGUCAAUUUCUCAUUUAAAUGUUUGUUUACUCAUUUGUUAUGUGCAUCACUCAGAUGACUCAUCAGAAUGAAUCAUUUAAAUGGAUCAUCUAGAUGCAAAUGACAAAUGAGCAAACAAACAGGGUCUUGUUAUGUUUUUGCUUCUUUACUCUCGAAUUGAUGGAUCAAGUUGAUGGAAUGAUACAUUUUUCCAGUUCAUAGUCACUGAUUGCUCUUUGAUGAUGAAACCCCAUUUAAAUGCUCAUACUAAUAAUGAGGCUGGAGCAGGAGGAUGGAGGUCUACCUAUCACAACAAGUAGAGAAAUCUCCCUCUUGAAAGAAAUGCAGCACAACAACAUUUUCAAGUGAACAAUUCUGGUGAACUACUACAGCAUGAAUCUGGUGAACAAUUUUGGUUGAUUCUUUGGUACACAGGUCGCACGAUGUAGUGCCCAGCGAGAAGCGUUUGUAAUUGGUUAUUGAGUAUUUGGACUUGGAUCUCAAAAAACACAUGGAUUCAUCUCCUGAUUUCUCAAAGAAUCUACAUAUGACCAAAGUGAGUCUUAAGAAACUUUAGCAUUGUUUUAAUUAUGAGCUUAGUGCAUCUUUCAUGUGAACGCACUUCUUAAAUGAACAAACCAGUAACUCCUAAAAAUACUGUAAUGUUAAGCUGUUUGGUUGGUCAUGAUCCCAUGAACUUCCUUCUGUUAAUUUUAACACACAUAUUUGUUUAUUUCGCUGAAUAUUUUUGAAAUCUAAGUUAUGUUAUCUCCUCUCGAUGCGUUUUGGUAAUUCCCUCUCAUAUCUAAAUUUUGUUCUGCAGGAUUAGAUACCCAAAUUUCUACUUGGAGAAUUUUUGUAUGUGCAUGCACAUCGGUAAUUCAAACUAAGUUCAAGAUUAAGAAGAGCAACCUCCAGACAUAUGGCAGCCAUCAAGUACGAACCUCCAACAGAUAACUAAGAUUGAAAAAUGUGCAUUAUGUUGAAAUCCAUCAUGUACAUUGAAGGUCACAGUCCCUUUUUAUUUACUAUUAUCACAAAUCUUGAGCUUUAUUAGGACAUCCCUUCUGAUUGCUGAGUUUCCUAGCAUCUUCUUCUACUUUAAAGCCGUCAUUCUUGAAAAGGUGAUGGAGUUGAGUAUGUAUGUUGUAGCUACUAUUUUUACUUAAAGACCAAGUGAAGGAAUGUAUCUGCGAAUUUUUUCUUAAAUAAAAGUUUUUUAUUUAAAUUGCAUGAAAAAUAAAAUUGCAUGAGAAAGGUUGUGUAUCUGUGUAUUUGUCUAUUUGUUGUCAUUUAGCUUGUAUUGUGGUUAAUCAUCACAUUUCGUAUGAUGGUUACGGUUAUUCCGGCGAUUUUAUGAUCGGUCUAACCUCUCUCUCUUUUUUAACAUACGUGUCUACCCAAUUUUCACCAAUUCCUAACAUCUUAUCUAUUUCGAGUUGAUUUUUACUCAAAAGAUUUGAUUUUGAAACAGAGGGAUAUUGUGGGGAUUGGUGGUUCGUGGUCUGAGUUCCUCGAUUAUACUAUCGCUUCAUUUUUGUUUGUCAGAUUUCGCAAAACUAAAACGUCGAAGUUGCUGAUGUGGCCUCUACGUCAAUAAUAUUUGAUGGUUUGUUAAUACCGUUUGGAGCUAAGUAUGUUUAC